rnacentral:rRNA from 1 species
AUACGUAGGGUCCGAGCGUUGUCCGGAGUUACUGGGCGUAAAGGGCACGCAGGCGGCGGCACUGGCCCGGCGUGAAAGCCCCCGGCUCAACCGGGGAGGGUCGUCGGGGACCGUGCCGCUUGAGGGCAGCAGGGGGUGGUGGAAUGCCCGGUGUAGUGGUGAAAUGCGUAGAGAUCGGGCGGAACACCCGUGGCGAAGGCGGCCACCUGGGCUGCACCUGACGCUGAGGUGCGAAGGCGUGGGGAGCGAACGGGAUUAGAUACCCCGGUAGUCCACGCAGUAAACGAUGCCGACUAGGCGUGGGGGGACUUGACCCCCUCCGUGCCGGAGCCAACGCGGGAAGUCGGCCGCCUGGGGAGUACGGCCGCAAGGCUAAAACUCAAAGGAAUUGACGGGG